GGAACUGUGCCCGAAUGUUAGGGACCACUUUGAUAGAGUGUCACACGAGGGUUCAAAUCCCUCCAGCUCCU
rnacentral:tRNA from 1 species